AACCUGCCCAGCUUCUCCCUGCUCCAAGCUCAUCCUGGCUGCCCCUGCUUCAGGCCCUGCACUAGAAGUUGUGGAGAACACAUUAGACUAAAGACGCUGUAACAUUUUAACCAUUACACAUUUUUGAAGAUUUGAGAAUGCUAUGUUUACUCUGAUGCUAUGCUGGCCCUGAGAAAUCAGACAAGGGGUGCUUAAAAACACUCCCAAAAACACAGAGAUGAAGAACCUCCCACAAAAAGUUACCUCAGAAAAACCUUCCUCUUGCAAGUCACCAAACCCACCACUGGUACAAUUUAAAGGAAUGGCGUUCCCUAAUGCAUCCCGCUAACUCCCACCCAAUA